rnacentral:rRNA from 1 species
CAGUCGCCGCGGGAAUACGAAGGGUGCAAGCGUUAAUCGGAAUUACUGGGCGUAAAGCGUGCGUAGGCGGUGAGUUAAGUCUGCUGUGAAAUCCCCGGGCUCAACCUGGGAAUGGCAGUGGAUACUGGCUCGCUAGAGUGUGUCAGAGGAUGGUGGAAUUCCCGGUGUAGCGGUGAAAUGCGUAGAGAUCGGGAGGAACAUCAGUGGCGAAGGCGGCCAUCUGGGACAACACUGACGCUGAGGCACGAAAGCGUGGGGAGCAAACAGGAUUAGAGACCCGUGUAGUCCAUGUCUCUUAUAC